GAAAAGUUAGUUAAAUUAUAACAUAAAAUUGUCAAUUUUAAAUUACUAUAUUUUAUAGUACUUAUCGUAUGCCACAAUUAUCCCCUAUUAAUUGAUUAUUCUUAUUUGUUAUAUUCUGAUCUAUUAUAACUAUCAAUACAUCUAUUAUAUGAUGAAAUACCAGUAAUAUUUAUACAAUUAGUAAAACACCUAAAUCAAGUAUAACCAUUAAAUACAAAUGAUAA
rnacentral:tRNA from 1 species